ACAACAUCUGGACCGUCGCGUCGAUCUACCCAGCAAUAUCACCCGCUCAGUGGAAGAUCUUCCCUCCGUCGU
rnacentral:pre_miRNA from 1 species